CUUUCUGUUUAAGAUCAGUGUGGAAAUGGAUGUGGACGCGGUGCUGCUGCCUGAGAUUAGCAGGAAGCAAUUCUUUUCCCAUUUGGAGAGACCCCGGUGAGACCUGAUCAACUAGCAACAUGCGGAAGUCACACCAUUAAGUCUUCCAAUUUGCUAGCAGCAAAUCAAUGAACUCUGAUAGCUGCUGCCCUAAGCUAGCAUCCAGGGAACUGUGGACAAGCUAUUUGAUACCUGAAUUUUAGUGAAGGAAAGUUAAAUUUUUUCUUAAAGCAGGGUGGGAGUGGGGUUGUGUGGGGAAGAUUAUAUUAAGCAGUGAGAGAAGACAGAUGGAGUUUUGUAGAAAGAGAGCUGGUUGUUUUAAAUUGUAUCUUAAAUUUAUUGUAGAGCUAUUGGUAAUUAGUGUUUUGUUGUUGUGUGUUUAUACCAACCAAUUAAUAAGAAAGGCUUUUAUUUUUAUUUCAUCAGUUGGAGCUGAACUUUAUUUUUUAUUAUAAAUAUAAGGCAUUAUUCUAGGGCCUGGCAAACAUAGGCAGCCACUUUUUUUUUCUGGGGAAGAUUAUACCUUGGUAUGUUUUCACCACUGUGAGAUGAAAAUUUGAGAACAGUGAGAGACAGAUGCUUGCCUGAGGAGUUUUAUUUUCCCUUUAAUCCUUAUCAAAUAUCCAGAUAUUACCUAUAUUGCCUUGAUCUGCUGUCUGAAGGUGGGUUUCUUUGAUUGUUUGAAGAGUUCUGGGCACUAGAGGUGCUUACUUUGUGACGGGAGCAAAUAACAAGGUGUUGCCCAUGACAUGGUCAAGCCUCUUCUUCAAUUAGCCACCUAUCUUGGGCAUGUUUUCAUAGAGAUAUAUCUCAUCCCUUUUAAUAACUGCAGAAUCUUGGACAUUUAGAGGUCUCCAAAUAUUGGUUGUCAUUUAUGGUGUAUCGUGUUUUUGUUAUUAUAAUAACGUUGCAAUAAAUACCCUAGCAACCUAUUUUUGCUUACAAGUAGAGUAUUUUCGAAGAACAAAUUCCUUCAUGUGAAACUGACGGGUCAAAAUAUAAAAGGAUUAAAGUUUCAAUAGUUAGUUAAUUGCCUUACAAUGGAAUUACAACAAUUUAUACUUCCACCAGUAAUUCAUGAACUCUGCCUUACCACAUAAUAUUUCUAAUCUUUCCCAAUCUGAUAUGGAGAAACAUGUUUUAUUAUUCUAUUUUUUUUUCACUAAAAGAGAGACUUUGAACACCCCUCCAUAUGUUUCAAAAACACUUGUAGACCAGGUGUGGUGGCUCACUCCUGUAAUUCCAGCACUUUGGGAAGUGAGAAGAUUGCUUGAGCCCAGGAGUUCGAGACCAACUUAGGCAACAAAUCUAGACAAGGGAGACCUUGUCUCUACGAAAAAAUGAAAACAUUAACUGGGCAUGGUGGUGUGUGCUGUGGUGCUA
rnacentral:lncRNA from 1 species